rnacentral:tRNA from 1 species
UUGACAUGAAAAAUCACCGUUGUAUUCAACUAUAAAAACA